UACGUAGGGUGCAAGCGUUGUCCGGAAUUAUUGGGCGUAAAGAGCUCGUAGGCGGUCCAUCACGUCGGGAGUGAAAAGCUGGGGCUUAACCCCAGUCCUGCUUCCGAUACGGGUGGACUAGAGGUAGGCAGGGGAGAACGGAAUUCCUGGUGUAGCGGUGAAAUGCGCAGAUAUCAGGAGGAACACCGGUGGCGAAGGCGGUUCUCUGGGACGGUACUGACGCUGAGACGCGAAAGCGUGGGGAGCGAACAGG
rnacentral:rRNA from 1 species